AGCGGAAGCUUGCAAAUCAUGGUAAUAAAGCUCACUAGUUUAUAAUGGUCUUUCAAUGUAAGUUAAAGUGAAAUAGAAAAAGGUGUGGGGGUUUUUGUUUUGUUCUUUAAUCCAAAUGUGGGUGGGACAGAGGACUGCCACGUACAUCUUUGCGAUGCAUUCACCACAUCAUUUUAAUUAACGAACCUCAGGAAUAUACUAAAAUGGUUGUUUUGACAAAUAAUCUUGUUCAAAAGAGCCCCUGCUUUGGGGAGACAAGUUAACUUCAAUGUCCUUGCAUCCUGCAGUAUGUGCAUCUUGCCUGUCCUCAUCUAGAGAGAUGCUCUCAAGAAAGACUGUAAUAUUGCUUUGGAGGGAAGUGCUUUUUAGAAUGGAGAAACCAUCCACAAGUUUUCCUGGGAACUGCAGUUAACAGAGUUACUGUUUACAGGUAAGAAUGUCCUGACUGCCCAUCAGUUCAGGUGGCG
rnacentral:lncRNA from 1 species